UACGUAGGGUGCGAGCGUUAUCCGGAAUUAUUGGGCGUAAAGAGCUCGUAGGCGGUGUGUCGCGUCGGCCGUGAAAACCUGUGGCUUAACUAUGGGCUUGCGGUCGAUACGGGCAUCACUGGAGUUCGGCAGGGGAGACUGGAAUUCCUGGUGUAGCGGUGAAAUGCGCAGAUAUCAGGAGGAACACCGGUGGCGAAGGCGGGUCUCUGGGCCGAUACUGACGCUGAGGAGCGAAAGCGUGGGGAGCGAACAGG
rnacentral:rRNA from 1 species